GACGAACGCUGGCGGCGUGCUUAACACAUGCAAGUCGAACGGAAAGGCCCUGCUUUUGUGGGGUGCUCGAGUGGCGAACGGGUGAGUAACACGUGAGUAACCUGCCCUUGACUUUGGGAUAACUUCAGGAAACUGGGGCUAAUACCGGAUAGGAGCUCCUGCUGCAUGGUGGGGGUUGGAAAGUUUCGGCGGUUGGGGAUGUACUCGCGGCUUAUCAGCUUGUUGGUGGGGUAGUGGCUUACCAAGGCUUUGACGGGUAGCCGGCCUGAGAGGGUUACCGGCCACAUUGGGACUGAGAUACGGCCCAGACUCCUACGGGAGGCAGCAGUGGGGAAUAUUGCACAAUGGGCGGAAGCCUGAUGCAGAAACGCCGCGUGCGGGAUGACGGCCUUCGGGUUGUAAACCGAUUUCGCCUGUGACGAAGCGUGAGUGACGGUAAUGGGUAAAGAAGCACCGGCUAACUACGUG
rnacentral:rRNA from 1 species